GACGAACGCUGGCGGCGUGCUUAACACAUGCAAGUCGAACGGAAAGGCCCUGCUUUUGUGGGGUGCUCGAGUGGCGAACGGGUGAGUAACACGUGAGUAACCUGCCCUUGACUUUGGGAUAACUUCAGGAAACUGGGGCUAAUACCGGAUAGGAGCUCCUGCUGCAUGGUGGUGGUUGGAAAGUUUCGGCGGUUGGGGAUGGACUCGCGGCUUAUCAGCUUGUUGGUGGGGUAGUUGCUUACCAAGGCUUUGACGGGUAGCCGGCCUGAGAGGGUGACCGGCCACAUUGGGACUGAGAUACGGCCCAGAGUCCUACGGGAGGCAGCAGUGGGGAAUAUUGCACAAUGGGCGGAAGCCUGAUGCAGCAACGCCGCGUGCGGGAUGACGGCCUUCGGGUUGUAAACCGCUUUCGCCUGUGACGAAGCGUGAGUGACGGUAAUGGGUAAAGAAGCACCGGCUAACUACGUG
rnacentral:rRNA from 1 species